rnacentral:rRNA from 1 species
UACGGAGGGAGCUAGCGUUGUUCGGAAUUACUGGGCGUAAAGCGCACGUAGGCGGCUAUUCAAGUCGGGGGUGAAAGCCCGGGGCUCAACCCCGGAAUAGCCUUUAAGACUGCAUCGCUUGAACGUCGGAGAGGUGAGUGGAAUUCCGAGUGUAGAGGUGAAAUUCGUAGAUAUUCGGAAGAACACCAGUGGCGAAGGCGGCUCACUGGACGACUGUUGACGCUGAGGUGCGAAAGCAUGGGGAGCAAACAGG